UAGCUCAGUUGGUUAGAGCAGAGGACUCAUAAUCCUUUGGUCCCAGGUUCAAGUCCUGGUGGGCCCACCA
rnacentral:tRNA from 1 species